rnacentral:rRNA from 1 species
UACGUAGGGGGCAAGCGUUGUCCGGAAUCAUUGGGCGUAAAGCGCGCGUAGGCGGUCCGGUAAGUCCGCUGUGAAAGUCAAAGGCUCAACCUUUGAAUGCCGGUGGAUACUGUCGGACUCGAGUCCGGAAGAGGCGAGUGGAAUUCCUGGUGUAGCGGUGGAAUGCGCAGAUAUCAGGAGGAACACCGGUGGCGAAGGCGGAUCUCUGGGCCGAUACUGACGCUGAGGAGCGAAAGCGUGGGGAGCGAACAGG